CCUACGGGAGGCAGCAGUGGGGAAUAUUGCGCAAUGGGGGAAACCCUGACGCAGCAACGCCGCGUGAGUGAGGAAGUAUCUCGGGAGGUAAAGCUCGAGCAGCGGGGAAGAAGGAAGACGGGACCCGACGAAGAAGCCCCGGCUAACUACGUGCCAGCAGCCGCGGUAAUACGUAGGGGGAGAGCGUGAUCCGGAUUUACUGGGUGUAAAGGGAGCGUAGACGGCGGCGCAAGUCUGAAGUGAAAGCCCGUGGCUCAACCGCGGAACCGCUUUGGAAACGGCGAGGCUGGAGUGCUGGAGAGGUAAGCGGACUUCCUGGUGUAGCGGUGAACUGCGUCGCUCUCAGGCGGAACCCCGGUGGCGAAGGCGGCUUACUGGACCGUGCCUGCCGUUGAGGCUCGAAAGCGUGGGGAGCGAACAGGAUUAGAUACCCCUGUAGUC
rnacentral:rRNA from 1 species